rnacentral:lncRNA from 1 species
UCCAAUGUUGACACCUAAAAUUUCGCAAACGAUCACUUUUUGUACUUUAAAAAAAGUAGGACCUUACUUUCCCUACAAAAAAAAAUGUCUCAUUAAUUGAAGGUCGAGUUCUUGCAAUUUAGAUUGCUAAGCAUAUAGUACAUCUUUUCUUAAAAACAAAUGGGAUUAGUUUCCUUGGAGUCAAUUUUCUUAAACUCACAAUUAUUUGAUCACGUCACCGUACCAUGUAAGAUGUUGCAUCAUCAUUAGAAGCGCUACCCUCUUUAUUUAUGAUCCACCGUAUAUAAAUUAGGAUCCAAAUUCAUUCUGCAAAAUUUGCAUCAUUCACGUCAUUUCUUCGUAUAUAGCUAUUCAAAGUCAUUGCCACAGAGAAGACCAAUCAUCACAACAAUCAACAUAGAUGGUCGAAGCCUUGGUAUAUCCUGUGCGUAGAGAAGACCAAUCUUCAUGAAUAGGCAUGCCUCUUCCCUAUGAUGUUCCCCAUCCUGAGAUGUGUCCACUAAGCUCAUUAGCUCCCUUUUCUCGUGUAACUUCAAUGCCUAUAACACAGUGUACAAGUAGAUCAAGAGAUAUAUGCAUUUACAGCAUCGCAACUCAUUUUCCAAGCCAACAAGAGCAAGAAAGUCUCCAAGCCCCAAGCCCCUCUAUCCACACAAUCCCCAUUAAACCCAAAAAACCAAUUUUCAUAAGGAAAACCAGCACUCCUCAACAGGAAAAAAACAUUGUGAAGCUGCCCAUGAACAUCCAUGUUGCAAAAAUUGACAUGUAUACUUUAUACCCAUUCAUUGCCUACUCAUUCUAGCAAGUAUAGGCUAUAUGAAUAAAGGUCCAAGUUGCAAAACAGAACACAAAAGACCAGCGCAUAACUCGCCACCAACACGAUGAGUUUUGUGACAAAAGACUAGCACAAAGACGAGAUUGCAAAGCAAAACACAAAAGACCGGCACACAUCAUUGAUAUUAGUGACAAAAGACCAACACAUAACUCGCUGUCAUGAGUUACCCCUCGAGGCGGGAAAACGUUCAUCUAACUAGUAGAUUUAGGAGUAUUUGCUAAUAAAACAGUCCAAGCAGGCAUCCUUAAAAGAGACAGCUCCAAGAGCGACGUCUAGUCGGUGGGCCAUGCUCAGUUCAUUAAUUAUGAAUGUGGGUUCUCUCAAACCUAUACCUUGCACGACAUUGAGUCAUUUUAAAGUUCUUAGACAACCUAAAAAAUUAUGUAGGGGUCAGCUAGAAACCCAAUCAAGGGUUGGGAGACCUCCCUUGAUUUUUAUGGAACUAGAGAUUUGUGAAUUCGGUGACUUGGAUUACACUAAAGAUUUCUAUCAGUGCCCUUUCGAUACCUAAUGAGUUCGAUAGUCUAUGUAGCACGGACGCUCUCCGGAGGCCUUCGUGUCGUGUCCGACACUCUGACAUGUGUCCGACACGCUACGACACGUCCCGACACGCGGUCAACGAGUGUAAAAAAAUACGACACGUGGUCAACUCUCUCUAACACGUUCUGACAUGCGAGUCCAGAAUUCUGACACGCGAUUUCGACACGCACGGGGUCAAUUUUAAAAAUUUAUAAUACUUGAAGGGUCAAAAUAUAAAUAUACACAAAAGAAGUAAUAAAAUAAGUAAUAAAAUUGCUAUAAAUGUACACGCACGCGGUCAAUUUUUUUUUCAUUUUUUUAAAGUCUUUUACUAUGAAAAAAGUAAUAAAAAAUGCAAUAUAUGAAUAAAUAGAUUUAAAAAUAUCAUUUCAGCAUUUUUCUUUAAACAAUGUUUUUUUCCUCUAAGUUUUGUGUAUUAUUGUAACAAAUUAAAAUAAUGAAUGAUAUUAUUUAAUAUUUUUCGUGUGAAUUAAUUCUAGGCUAUUAUUAUUAUUAUUUAUUUAUGUAUUUAUAUAUAAAAAUAUAUUUGAUAUAUAACGUGUCGGAACGUGUCGAAAUUCCCUAUUUUUAAAAAAUGACGUGUUGGCGUGUCGUGUCGCGUGUCCGUGUCGGUGCUACAUAGUCAAUAAUUAUCUAAGAUGGUCAUACGUUUCUUUUUACAUUUUCGUACAAAUUGAAUCUUAGUGUUAAGCGAUCACACAUGGAUGGUUCAUUCAUGCCAUUUCUAAACUAGCUAACUAAAGCAUAAUAGGAAAUCACACAAGUAAUGAAAUUGCGAUGGGUGAAAGUAAACACUCAAGCAAUAUAAAAGAUGAACUAAAAGAAAAAGGAAUAUGAAACCCACAACUUGUGAGGUAUUUAUACAACACAAAUUGGAAACGAGCAAUUUCGAAACAAUGCAAACAAGCACAAAACAAGAACAAUCGAAGAUACAAACAAGGGCAUUCAAUGAACCUAAAAAUUACAUUGGAAUGGUCACAAAUGGCCUCAGGAGCGACCUUUGAUUUGCAUGUAUCGACGCAUCCUAGGACACCUAUUUGAUUCAUUUGUGACCGAUGGAGAUUGGUCAUCCCUUGUGUUCACAAGCAGUAGUCAAUUUCAUUUGGAUUUAAAUGUGUCCCAAGGGUAACUCACAACCAUGCAUUAACCUUAAAUCAUAUAUCUAAAAUCCACAUGCGAAGUAAGAAAGUGGCAUGCAUUUAGGCCGAAAAGGCCUUGUUUCUCAUUCGAUCAAGCAAUGUGAAGUGAACAAUGACGGGUCACUUAAUCCACAUAGGACAAGUCAUGUCAUUUCAAUAUUUGCAAUCAAGUACAAUACUUUUGUGUUAUUGCAAAUGAGUCCCUAAGGAAGGUUGUUUAUGUUUUGAAUAAUUCAAACAAGGAUCUCAAUUUUAUUGAAAUUUUGAAACAAGUUUGGACAUUAUUGGGAAAUAAAUUCUAGAACUCGGGCGCUAAUAAUUUGCCACACUGAUCAAGUUCCUUGAGUGACCAAAUGUGCAUCAAUUUCAACAAAAUUGGUGUCAAGAGAAAGCUGAGAUCAUCACCUUCAACUUUCAUGUUUUGAAGAUUUUCAAAUGAGGACAUUAACUUCAUCGAAGUUACAAAAAUACUUUCAAGUAUCCAAGAAAGACUUGGGCGCAGAAUAAAUGGCGCACUGAUAAGGCCAUCUGGAUGCCUUGACAAGUUUCGAAUUUGAUGUAAUUAAUGUCAAGAGCAAGAUUAAAUGUCUUCUACAACUUUGAUGAAGAACACAAUUUGAGAUUUGUAUCACAUAAAUUUAUAAAAAUUCAAAAGUGACCGAUAGUCAGUUCUAGAAAAUAAAAUUUUUAGAGUCCCUGCAACUUUGUAACACUCAUGAAAAAUAGGAAAUGAAUUUUUUAUUUUCUGAAAUUUUUUUAUAACAAAGAUGAAAAUGUAAAAAUCAUCUUUCAUGAAAACAUCAUCAUUAGAUGCUAAGUCUACGAUUUUAUAAAAAUCACGCAAUUGAUGAAGGUAAUUCUGGAACAGUAGUCUCACAGAAGAACCAUGUUCAGCUCUAACAUGAUAUUUCAAAGUAAGUUUAAACUAGCAAACGAUGUCGCAUUUAAGCAUAUAAUAUAUCAAAUUGAAGCUCAGCAAUCAUACUUCGAAUUUUUAGAACACUUGUUCGCAAGAUUUAAUCAUUUUCUAGCUUAUAUUGAGGCUAGAUCAGUUUAGAAAUGCUACGAAUUUCCAUGAUAGUAAUCUAUUAUCAUCAAGCAAUUGAUCAUUCAUCACUCAUCUCUAACAUGAUAUUUCAAAGUAAGUUUAAAACUAGCAAACAAUGUCGCAUUUAAGCAUAUAAUAUAUCAAAUUGAAGCUCAGCAAUCAUAUUUCGAAUUUUUAGAACACUUGUUCGCAAGAUUUAAUCAUUUUCUAGCUUAUAUUGAGGCUCGAAAUAGAUCAGUUUAGAAUGCUACGAAUUUCCAUGAUAGUAAUCUAUUAUCAUCAGCAAUUGAUCAUUCAUCACUCAUCUCAACUCAUCUCAACUCAUUCAUGGCAUCAUUCUAAACGCAUAUAAUCACCUAGAUGUUGAAUCCUAGCCCCGAUUGUUUAAGGCGAUCUUGCUUCAUCGGAUUUGUGUGCUAGAGGACUUUACCUUGAUGCCAUUAAUCUUCAAGCUGGAUGAGCUAAUCGGCCACCGGGAUCUAGCUCAAGUCACAGCCGGAGUAGCUCAGCAACAAUUUAGAUCGAAUCAUAAAGCUAAAGUGAGAACUAAGCUCGAUCAAGUAUAAGUGUGAUCAAAAAAUGAAGAUCAAGUGAAGUUGAGGAGAAUCGAUGAUGAUCGGUGAAGAUCCGGUGAUGCUUUUAGCCAAGGUGAGAUCAAAGCUUGAUCAGAGGGGCAGAUCGCAAGGUUCGGGCAGCUUGGGGAUCACCGUUGAUCGCCGAAAUGAACGAUUGAAACUAGCAACAUGAGUACCAGCGUGCGGCACGAAUUUGGGCCUGAGGUAGAAAAGCCGCCGGUCGGAGGUCUUCCAGUGAUGAUUCAGCCACUUGAAUGUUGCGAUUGGCAAGGAGGACGAUCGGUGGUGGUCGGAUUAGUGGUGGCUCGUCGGUGGGAGGUGUUGAACGAUUGAUGUGAGCUCCAGAAGGCUCGGCCCUUCUUCGCGCGUGCGAGAGAGAGAGAGAGAGAGAGAGAGAGAGAGAGAGAGAGAGGAUAUAUGAAAAUA